rnacentral:rRNA from 1 species
GUGCCAGCAGCCGCGGUAAUCCCAGCUCCAAUAGCGUAUAUUAAAGUUGUUGUGGUUAAAAAGCUCGUAGUUGAACCUUGGGCCUGGCUGGCCGGUCCGCCUCACCGCGUGCACUGGUCCGGCCGGGCCUUUCCCUCUGUGGAACCCCAUACCCUUCACUGGGCGUGGCGGGGAAACAGGACAUUUACUUUGAAAAAAUUAGAGUGCUCCAGGCAGGCCUAUGCUCGAAUACAUUAGCAUGGAAUAAUAAAAUAGGACGCGCGGUUCUAUUUUGUUGGUUUAUAGGACCGCCGUAAUGAUUAAUAGGGACAGUCGGGGGCAUCAGUAUUCAACUGUCAGAGGUGAAAUUCUUGGAUCAGUUGAAGACUAACUACUGCGAAAGCAUUUGCCAAGGAUGUUUUCAUUAAUCAGGAACGAAAGUUAGGGGAUCGAAGACGAUCAGAUACCGUCGUAGUCUUAACCAUAAACUAUGCCGACUAGGGAUCGGACGGUGUUAUUCAUGACCCGUUCGGCACCUUACGAGAAAUCAAAGUGCUUGGGCUCCAGGGGGAGUAUGGUCGCAAGGCUGAAACUUAAAGAAAUUGACGGAAGGGCACCACCAGGGGUGGAGCCUGCGGCUUAAUUUGACUCAACACGGGGAAACUCACCAGGUCCAGACACAAUAAGGAUUGACAGAUUGAGAGCUCUUUCUUGAUUUUGUGGGUGGUGGUGCAUGACCGUUCUUAGUUGGUGGGGUGACUUGUCUGCUUAAUUGCGAUAACGAACGAGACCUUAACCUGCUAAAUAGCCCGCAUUGCUCCGGCAGUGCGCUGGCUUCUUAGAGGGACUUUCGGCUC